GACGAACGCUGGCGGCGUGCCUAACACAUGCAAGUCGAGCGAAUGAAGUUCCUUCGGGAACGGAUUUAGCGGCGGACGGGUGAGUAACACGUGGGCAACCUGCCUCAUAGAGGGGAAUAGCCUUCCGAAAGGGAGAUUAAUACCGCAUAAGAUUGUAGUACCGCAUGGUACAGCAAUUAAAGGAGCAAUCCGCUAUGAGAUGGGCCCGCGGCGCAUUAGCUAGUUGGUGAGGUAACGGCUCACCAAGGCGACGAUGCGUAGCCGACCUGAGAGGGUGAUCGGCCACAUUGGGACUGAGACACGGCCCGGACUCCUACGGGAGGCAGCAGUGGGGAAUAUUGCACAAUGGGGGAAACCCUGAUGCAGCAACGCCGCGUGAGUGAUGACGGCCUUCGGGUUGUAAAGCUCUGUCUUCAGGGACGAUAAUGACGGUACCUGAGGAGGAAGCCACGGCUAACUACGUG
rnacentral:rRNA from 1 species